GACGAACGCUGGCGGCGUGCUUAACACAUGCAAGUCGAGCGAGGCCCCUCCUUCGGGAGGGUGUCCUAGCGGCGAACGGGUGAGUAACACGUGGGCAACCUGCCCUCAGCUCUGGGAUAACUCCGGGAAACCGGGGCUAAUACCGGAUACGACCUCCACGGGCAUCUGCGGAGGUGGAAAGUUUUUCGGCUGAGGAUGGGCCCGCGGCCUAUCAGCUAGUUGGUGGGGUAGUGGCCCACCAAGGCGACGUCGGGUAGCCGGCCUGAGAGGGCGACCGGCCACACUGGGACUGAGACACGGCCCAGACUCCUACGGGAGGCAGCAGUGGGGAAUAUUGCGCAAUGGGCGAAAGCCUGACGCAGCGACGCCGCGUGAGGGACGAAGGCCUUCGGGUUGUAAACCUCUUUCAGCAGGGACGAAGCGAAAGUGACGGUACCUGCAGAAGAAGCACCGGCCAACUACGUG
rnacentral:rRNA from 1 species